rnacentral:misc_RNA from 1 species
UCCGUGUUAACCACGGCAGUCUCCUUAGAGAGCCCAACUGAAUGCUGGCAACUAAGGACAAGGGUUGCGCUCGUUGCGGGACUUAACCCAACAUGUCACCACACGAGCUGACGACAGCCAUGCAGCACCUGUCUCUCGGUCGUAUUACUACGAAAACCACAUCUCUGUGGCGGUCUGAGGAUGUCAAACCCAGGUAAGGUUCUUCGCGUUGCUUCGAAUUAAACCACAUGAUCCACCGCUUGUGCGGGCCCCCGUCAAUUCCUUUGAGUUUUAGUCUUGCGACCGUACUUCCCAGGCGGGGUACUUAUUGCGUUAGCUCCGACUCGGCGGGGGUCAAGACCCACCAAGUCUAGUACCCAUCGUUUACAGCGUGGACUAC